GCUAACUGAAAAAUACAGGUACCAUUGCUUCCAACAAGAUCUGAAAGAAGAUAAAUUUAAAAUAAUUUCCUAUCAAAAUUUCAAGGGAAAUGCAUAAAAUUAUUUAACUGAAGAAGCUAAAUGAGCAAUUUUUGCAAACCCAUCUCUUCUAAAUGUUGCAUUUUGAAAACAAAUGACGAUUUUAGAAAUGACAGAUUCAUUGCUUCUAUUCUGAGAGAAAGAGUGACGGAAUGAAAAGGAGAGAGCAAGGGUUUCAAAGCCUUCUAACCCCUAUGGAUAGAUUGAAGUGACGUCGUUUUGAUGAAGGAAACAAUUUACAGCACUGUUGUGUUAUUUUUUUUUGGGGCUUUUGGGCUGUGGGUAAGAUAUAAAAGCCCAUCAACGUUUUACAAUUAAAAAUGCUAUUCUCCUUUCCAUUUUGCUCAUUCCACCUCAAACUUCAAAAAAUAACCCAAUGUAACUCAUGCUCCGUACCCAGCGUCCUAACGUGAGUUAACUUGGUUUCAGUUCUGAUAACAUAAAAAGAAUUCUUGACAAAAUUGCUGUUUUUUUUAAGUACCUAAACACCUAAACGUGCAUUCUUCACAAUAUUAAUCAUCGACUAUUGCUACAUUCAUUCACAA
rnacentral:lncRNA from 1 species